rnacentral:rRNA from 1 species
ACCUUUAAGUACUUUUUCGGGCAUUUUCGUGAUUUGGGCUAUAUUACGGACCCAAAAUUACUUGUUCAAGCAUUGUUUUCGAAUUUUUUCAUGCAUCAAAGCUCGUUAAGACUAGAUGGGGUAUCCCUACAUAGCGGGUGGGACCCACGGCGAAUGGUUCAUCAAGUCUUCAAAAAAGAAUAUAUACGAUUGCAUUGCAUAUACUAACGGAUGCGAUCAUACCAGCACUAAUGCACCGAAUCCCAUCAGAACUCCUCAGUUAAGCGUGCUUGGGCGAGAGUAGUACUAGGAUGGGUGACCUCCCGGGAAGUCCUCGUGUUGCAUCCCUUUUUUUUUUUGGUUAAAACUUUAUGACUCCAUAACUUCUACACAGA